AGAGUUUGAUCCUGGCUCAGAAUGAACGCUGGCGGCGUGCUUAACACAUGCAAGUCGAGCGAGGCGAGGGGGGCAACUCCCUCAGUCGAGCGGCGGACGGGUGAGUAACACGUGGGUCACCUGCCCGGAAGUGGGGAAUACCUCGGGGAAACUCGAGCUAAUUCCGCAUGACAUCGUCGGGACGCCUGUCCUGGCGAUCAAAGCGGGGUCGCAAGGCCUCGCGCUACCGGAUGGGCCCGCGCCCGAUUAGCUAGUUGGCGAGGUAACGGCUCACCAAGGCGACGAUCGGUAACCGGCCUGAGAGGGCGAUCGGUCACACCGGAACUGAGACACGGCCCGGACUCCUACGGGAGGCAGCAGUGGGGAAUCUUGCGCAAUGGGCGAAAGCCUGACGCAGCAACGCCGCGUGGAGGAUGAAGGCCCUUGGGUUGUAAACUCCUGUCGGUUGGGAAGAAAUCGUCCGAGGCGAAUACCCUCGGGCGUUGACUGUACCAGCAAAGGAAGCCCCGGCUAACUCUGUGCCAGCAGCCGCGGUAAUACAGAGGGGGCCAGCGUUAUUCGGAAUUAUUGGGCGUAAAGGGCGCGUAGGCGGCCAUGCGUGUCUUCCGUGAAAUCCCUCGGCUCAACUGAGGACGUGCGGAAGAAACUGCAAGGCUCGAGUCCGGGAGAGGGGGGUGGAAUUCCCAGUGUAGCGGUGAAAUGCGUAGAUAUUGGGAGGAACACCGGUGGCGAAGGCGGCCCCCUGGACCGGUACUGACGCUGAGGCGCGAAAGCGUGGGGAGCAAACGGGAUUAGAUA
rnacentral:rRNA from 1 species